rnacentral:rRNA from 1 species
AGUGAACGCUGGCGGUAGGCCUAACACAUGCAAGUCGAACGGCAGCACAGAGGAGCUUGCUCCAUGGGUGGCGAGUGGCGGACGGGUGAGGAAUACAUCGGAAUCUACCCUGUCGUGGGGGAUAACGUAGGGAAACUUACGCUAAUACCGCAUACGACCUUCGGGUGAAAGAGGGGGCUUGCAAGACCUCUCGCGAUUGGAUGAGCCGAUGUCGGAUUAGCUAGUUGGCGGGGUAAAAGCCCACCAAGGCGACGAUCCGUAGCUGGUCUGAGAGGAUGAUCAGCCACACUGGAACUGAGACACGGUCCAGACUCCUACGGGAGGCAGCAGUGGGGAAUAUUGGACAAUGGGCGCAAGCCUGAUCCAGCCAUACCGCGUGGGUGAAGAAGGCCUUCGGGUUGUAAAGCCCUUUUGUUGGGAAAGAAAAGCGACCGGCUAAUACCCGGUUGUUCUGACGGUACCCAAAGAAUAAGCACCGGCUAACUUCGUGCCAGCCGCCGCAGUAAGAC